GUCAGGAUCGCUCAGCUAAUUCAGGUGCAGUUCAAUCACGUAUGAAUGAAAUGCAGACUUGAUUUUAAUUGAAAACAUGAUUGAUUGAGGCACAAACAUUUUAAGGAUGAAUCAAAUUAUUUAAUCAAAGCAAUCAUCCUAGCUUAAAUAAAAUUAAGCUAACAUUGUUGUAAACAAGAACAAAGAACACAUAGCAAACAUUUUUAUAUUAAAUUAAAGAAAAGGAAGAUUAAACCUAAUUCAGAGUGUCUGCCACCCAAGAAUCUGACUGACGAGGCUGCUUUGUUCCUUUACUUUUCUCCUUUGCUGAUGGCUCUCCAAGGUGGCUGACCAAUGGUUCUUUAAGAGGCUUAAUUGCUAAAAUUUCUAUGAAAAGAUGAUGCUAGGUGUGGGAAUGGAAAAGGCUAAGAGAAUUUGGAUAAAAGAGAGAAUGAUGAAUGAUUGAGGGAUGAUUGA
rnacentral:lncRNA from 1 species